rnacentral:rRNA from 1 species
UACGUAGGGGGCAAGCGUUGUCCGGAAUCAUUGGGCGUAAAGAGCGAUGUAGGCGGUCCGGUCUAGUCGGUUGUGAAAGUCGGGGGCUCAACCUCCGAAUGCCGGUGGAUACUGUCGGGCUAGAGUGCGGGAGAGGCGAGUGGAAUUCCUGGUGUAGCGGUGAAAUGCGCAGAUAUCAGGAGGAACACCAAUUGCGAAGGCAGCCCCCUGGGUCGACACUGACGCUCAGGCACGAAAGCGUGGG